rnacentral:rRNA from 1 species
UAUUGGACAAUGGGCGAAAGCCUGAUCCAGCCAUGCCGCGUGUGUGAAGAAGGUCUUCGGAUUGUAAAGCACUUUAAGUUGGGAGGAAGGGCAGUAAGUUAAUACCUUGCUGUUUUGACGUUACCGACAGAAUAAGCACCGGCUAACUCUGUGCCAGCAGCCGCGGUAAUACAGAGGGUGCAAGCGUUAAUCGGAAUUACUGGGCGUAAAGCGGGCGUAGGUGGGUUGUUAAGUUGGAUGGGAAAGCCCCGGGCUCAACGUGGGAACUGGAUCAAAAACUGGCAAGCUAGAGUACGGUAGAGGGUGGUGGAAUUUCCUGUGUAGCGGUGAAAUGCGUAGAUAUAGGAAGGAACACCAGUGGCGAAGGCGACCACCUGGACUGAUACUGACACUGAGGUGCGAAAGCGUGGGGAGCAAACAG